rnacentral:ncRNA from 1 species
CAGAUAGAGGCGCGGUCGCUAAGAGUACCGCCGGUGUCAGAAGGCUUGCAAGGCCGCUGCCGGCAGGAAAGGAACUACCGCCGAAGGGAGCCCCUGCAAGGCUUGACCUGGGCAUUCGGAGAACAUCCGCAUGACUGUCGCGCAAGCGAAGAGCU